AUUGAACGCUGGCGGCAGGCUUAACACAUGCAAGUCGAACGAGUGGCGGACGGGUGAGUAAUGCUUGGGAAUCUAGCUUAUGGAGGGGGAUAACUACUGGAAACGGUAGCUAAUACCGCAUACCAUCGGAUGUGCCCAGGUGGGAUUAGCUAGUUGGUGGGGUAAAGGCUCACCCAGGCGACGAUCCCUAGCUGGUCUGAGAGGAUGACCAGCCAAACUGGGACUGAGACACGGCCCAGACUCUUACGGGAGGCAGCAGUGGGGAAUAUUGCGCAAUGGGGGCAAGCCGGAUGCAGCCAUGCCGCGUGAAUGAAGAAGGCCUUCGGGUUGUAAAGUUCUUUCGGUGGCGAGGCGUUACCGACAGAAGAAGCACCGGCUAACUCCGUGCCAGCAGCCGCGGUAAUAC
rnacentral:rRNA from 1 species